rnacentral:rRNA from 1 species
UGGGGAAUAUUGCGCAAUGGGCGAAAGCCUGACGCAGCGACGCCGCGUGAGGGAUGAAGGUUUUCGGAUCGUAAACCUCUGUCAGAAGGGAAGAAACCGCACUGUGCUAAUCAGCAGUGCCUUGACGGUACCUUCAAAGGAAGCACCGGCUAACUCCGUGCCAGCAGCCGCGGUAAUACGGAGGGUGCAAGCGUUAAUCGGAAUUACUGGGCGUAAAGCGCACGUAGGCUGCUUUGUAAGUCAGGGGUGAAAUCCCACGGCUCAACCGUGGAACUGCCUUGGAUACUGCUUAGCUUGAAUCCGGGAGAGGGUGGCGGAAUUCCAGGUGUAGGAGUGAAAACCGUAGAUAUCUGGAGGAACAUCAGUGGCGAAGGCGGCCACCUGGACCGGUAUUGACGCUGAGGUGCGAAAGCGUGGGGAGCAAACAGG